AGUUGGUUGAUUCUUCUUUAAUCUCUCUAAAUUUGUGAAGAUGGAGUCAAGAGAAGAAAGGAAUAACUACUAUAUGCAAAAAAUACUUACAGAUGUUGUU